CUUCCGAUUGAAAGGGACGAGAAGUGCAUCCGCGGAAUGGAGGACACCAAGAGACACGUUCUCAUGCAAAAGCAAAGGGUUUAUU